ensembl:lncRNA
AGAACAGACUGUGUCCUUAAAUGUAUUUAUCACAUGGAUCUACUUAGGUUCCAGUCAAGACAUCACUGUGUACAUACAUGUUUAUUAAUGGAGCUUUCCAGGUAUAGACAUGCAAUAAGAUGUGCACCAAACACUGGGAUUUUUAGAUUUCUGUCAAGACCUUAUAGUAACCCUUUCAACUGUUGGUCAGCACACCAUGUAGAUACGGUGGUAAGUCUCAUGAUGACCAACAGUGGCAGUUUGUUGUAUCCAUGGCCAUGAUGAUCAAGAGGGAUAUUGUAGCCAGCCAAGAGAAAAUGGUGUGAAGAACAACAUCUCUGACCUUGAAGUUCUAAAGAUCUAAGUACUUCAGUUGGUUUCCCUGAUGAUGGAGGUGACCAAAAUUUUAAAGUUGUCCUUUUUUUCUCCCCUCAGGUGAAAGAUGAUGCGUCCUAAACACACAUCUCAAAGUGUUGUCUAAGAUUCCAACAGUUAUUAAAUUAUAGUGAUUGAACUUAAGAAUGGUAAUUUAUGAAAUGUUAUGACUAACCUGGUAAGUAAGAAAUUGUCCCUACCAAGAUGCCAACAAAUAACCUUCAGAUUUCUUGGUAAAGUGGAUGGGAUAUCUAACACAAUGUUACCCUGGCUUUUUGGCAGGUAUUCCAUUAAGUUUUAUCCUAGUGUACAGGUUUGUUGACUUUAAAUCAUUAGAGGCAUUUCUUAUUUUUUGGUAUUUAUAUCAUGAAUGAUGCUUUUGAACUCCUGUGGUAACCUCUGCUUAGAACACAGUUCAAAAUAUGAUUUGUCAGUAAUGCUUUUUGUAAAUAUGAGAUUGUACUAUGGACUUAUUUAGAGAUUGUGAUAGGUUAUUGUAUAGGGAUGCAGGUCAUUGACCAUAUUUCCUAUCCCCUAGUAUUGACCAUGGGAAUUUUGCUAGUGUUUCUUCCAAACAAGAUGGUAUUUCUUAGUAGGCUUUUACCUCAGUGUUCAGCUUUAGCCAUGUAAUUGUGAUAAGAAUAUGAUUUGUCAUGUUGAAAGCCAUGACCAAGGGAAUGUGUCAAUGUCUUCCUUGAAUGACAUAGGUUCCAAAAUCAUUUUUCAUGAUUUGAUUUUCAAGUUCCUCUGAAGACACUGUGGUUAUCCUACCCAUGGGAGUGAGUCAAGUCCAUAGAGGGUUAUGAGGGAAAAUUGGUGUUUUAGCAAGGACUGCUGAGGGAGUGAUUAUGAACUGGUUAAUUGAAAUCAUUGUGGAACUCUAUGACUGCGAUGCCCUUCAAGAGAACACAGUGAUCCAGAAAAGAUGGUUGUUGCAGUCACCCUAGUAACAAGGUAAAUGAUAAAAUGGUCAUAGUCCAGUGAAGGCUGUUUGAUCUUCUAUAAUCCUGGCAAGUUCCUAACUAGGUGCUCAGAUGUUAAGGUCUUGGCUAGUGUAUUGGUCUGGGAUGAUAGUCACUCACUAGUGACAUCUCAUUUUCAGCAAUUCAUUUUAUGACUGUGUUAGGUUUUAUUAUAUUCCCCCACUUCUGGUGAUACAUGUUUUCAAAACAUAUUAUCACCUUAAUAUUACAAGGAUACAUCAAAUGUCAUUGCAUCUUUUCUGGAAUGUAAUAGAUGUAAUAUGCUUGUAUUGCUACUGGUGGAGAAGAGAUUCAUGUAAUUUUCACUGAGUCCAUCUCUGAAAUAUUGUCCUUGGAAGGUUUGCAUGUAUCACUGAAGACAGACAACACUCUCUUACAAGGCUUUAUCCAUGGAAGCCUCCAAGUAUCUAGAUAACAUAAGUGGAUGCUGAAACGAUGAAGUGACAUAGGGGAUUUGGAGUUGUAUAAGUGCAAAUGAGACAUAUACCAAAUCAGAAGUCUAUGACAAGAGUCCAUAGAUGGGUGAAUACAUCACAGCAAGCAAAAUAAGUUUGUAAAGUAGAACACUACUGAUCCCUCUAUAAGUGCUAAUGUGGGCAUUCACCACAUCACAGGAAAUCAGAUCUUCAUAUACAGGGAUGAGUGAUGAGGAUGUCCUUGACACUUGUUACUGAGGUUUUGUUACAAGUACUAAUGGAUGAAAUGAGAGACAUGAUGAAAAUAUCUAGUGAAUGCAAUACUGCAUUUUGUAUGAGACAGAAAUGAAUAUUGAACCUGUACAAUUUCAGGGAUCCAUCGCAUCAUGGUUGGAUGUAGACAUGGUGGUGUUACAACACAACAGUAAACAUUGAAAAAUUUACAGAUGGCUCUAUUACACAUUUGGACAUGCCAGAGAAUACAAUUUACAUAGAAUUAAGGACUCUAUUAACACAUAGCUGAAGGAUGCCUUUCUGUUUCUGGGUGAGGGGCAGAAAGAGUCAGUGACAUGGAAGAGCAAGAUGAGAGCUAAAUGACAGUUUUCUGUAGGUGCUUUCAAGUUAAUGGAAGUGAUCACUUGAAUGAGUGUGUUGAAAAAACCUUGAACAAACCAAGGAAAAACAAAAGUAUAAAUUACAGCCCAUUGGCACCCAUCCAAUCUUCAAUAUCCAGGUGGCUAGCAUAAGGGUAAUAGCCCAAUGAGAUGUUGUCAUGUACUGGAUUCUUAUGCUGGGAAGGUCACUGUGACUGUCGAGUUCUGAGCUGACCCCACAUUCACACAUCAGAGACCUUAUUUUCAGAUGUGAUUUUCAUUGUUGAUAGUGAAACUCUGAGGUAGUCUCCUUUAUUUGGCAAGUGUGAGGUUAAGGGCCUCAUUCCUAUCAGGGUGUAGAAUCAGGUGCUACUGAAUCCAGGCCGAAAGUGUGCCUUUAAACUGGCCAUUGUAAAGGGGAACAAAAGAGGGAGGGGAGGGGGAGAGGAAAGAAGAAAGAAAGAAAAGAAAAUAGAAGAAAAAAUGGAAACAAAGCUUUUGUAAAUAAAGGAGAAGGAGAGAGGUAGAGGGAGGGGAGGAGAAUGGGAAAAAAAGAAGAAGAAAGAUACAUCAUGAACAGGUACAAAUUCCCUGUGAUGAAUGCUAUCGUUAUGUUUACCUGAAAUGUACUAAUAAAGUUUUUGCUUCAAAAAAAAAGAACAACAACAACAACAACAACAAACUAGGCAUUGUGGAG